rnacentral:rRNA from 1 species
UACGUAGGGGGCCAGCGUUGCUCGGAAUUACUGGGCGUAAAGGGUCCGUAGGCGGUGCGGAAAGUCGAUAGUGAAAUCUCUGGGCUUAACCCAGAGGCUGCUAACGAAACUGCCGUGCUAGAGUGUGAGAGAGGCGAGUGGAAUUACGGGUGUAGCGGUGAAAUGCGUAGAUAUCCGUAGGAACAUCCGAGGCGAAAGCGGCUCGCUGGAUCACAACUGACGCUGAGGGACGAAAGCUAGGGGAGCAAACAGG